rnacentral:rRNA from 1 species
GCGGCGGACGGGUGAGUAACACGUGGGCAACCUGCCCUACAGAUGGGGAUAACUCCGGGAAACCGGGGCUAAUACCGAAUAAUCAGUUUGCCCGCAUGGACGAACUCUGAAAGACGGUUUCGGCUGUCACUGUAGGAUGGGCCCGCGGCGCAUUAGCUAGUUGGUGGGGUAAUGGCCUACCAAGGCAACGAUGCGUAGCCGACCUGAGAGGGUGAUCGGCCACACUGGGACUGAGACACGGCCCAGACUCCUACGGGAGGCAGCAGUAGGGAAUCUUCCACAAUGGACGAAAGUCUGAUGGAGCAAUGCCGCGUGAGCGAAGAAGGUUUUCGGAUCGUAAAGCUCUGUUGUAAGGGAAGAACAAGUACGGGAGUAACUGCCCGUGCCAUGACGGUACCUUAUUAGAAAGCCACGGCUAACUACGUGCCAGCAGCCGCGGUAAUACGUAGGUGGCAAGCGUUGUCCGGAAUUAUUGGGCGUAAAGCGCGCGCAGGCGGUUCUUUAAGUCUGAUGUGAAAGCCCACGGCUCAACCGUGGAGGGUCAUUGGAAACUGGAGAACUUGAGUACAGAAGAGGAAAGCGGAAUUCCACGUGUAGCGGUGAAAU